GUGACUUAUUUAAAAAUAUCCUCGACAAUUUAAAAAUAUGUUUAAACCGACGCUAACGGUAACAAAUAGGAACGAAUAUAUUUCUUAUUGUCAGUCAAUCGCUCGUCAAAAGGCUGAUAAUAAUCAAAUGUUGACGUUAUGCGAUAUUGGAUUCGGCAAAUGGAUUUCGCGCAAUAACAAAAUGAACUCUCAGUUGUCACAUCGCUGUAUUUCUGCGUAGGUUGGAGAUCAACGUCAAUUUAGAAGGUGCACCGUUCGUGGGAGUGAAAGGACGGAGAGAGGCGUAUCACAUAUGCGAGACGAAAUUGUCGGCAGACUCAGGGGGAGGUGGAGGUCGAAAUAGGAUCGAAACGGGCACCGUAACCAACGCCCCGUGGAUUCAUGCUGCCCCGCCAAGAGAGAGAGAAAAAGAGAGAGGGAGAGAGACGGAGAAAGAGCUCGUUAUGCAAGGGGGCCCGACGAAAUUGAAACGGAACGAGCCGGCGCCCCUCGGUUCGUCGAUCGUUUGAGGACGAUUCUUUCCCUGCGUCUCGUCCUUUCGCACACACACCAGAGCGCACUAAAGCGCAAUUUACUACAAAAGAUGGAAGAAGAGACUUACCUCUUGAUGCUGGAUUAAGAAGUCGGAGGUGGACGGUGGCGGGGGUGGUUCCGCGGAGACCUCUUGGAGCAGUCCCACGUGAUCCC